rfam:Ornithorhynchus anatinus chromosome 2, whole genome shotgun sequence.
AGCAGUGUGGUUCAGUGGUAAGAGCACGGGCUUGGGAGUCAGAGGUCAUGGGUUUGAAUCCCGGCUCUGCCA